UGGUGGAGUGAUUUGUCUGAUUAAUUCCGAUAACGAACAAAAAUCUAGCCUGCUUAAUAGUAACUACGUAACAAUUGCGUAACCUGAUUUCUCAGAGGGAUUCGCAAUUUUUGGUGGCACAAAAAUGAGCAAUAACA
rnacentral:rRNA from 1 species